GAGUAGAAGACCCCAGGUUUAUUAAUGAGCUGUGGUGUGAGGUAGGCAGGAUUGGUGCACUCCUUCUAGAAGAUGGGUCACUGAGUAUUCCUCUGCUAUAGCUGUUCACCAGGAAGUGUGCUCUGUUGUGUUAUCUGUCACCCAUUGUGCAGGCUCACAAGGUACAUUUCUUUGCAUGCACUUAUCUCCACCUAAACUGUGGGAAUUGCCACAAUGCUGGCAAUUGGCCUUGGUGUUCCUCAGGCAUUGUUUCCACAAAGCAAUUAGUGCAUAUCCACUGAGGACAGGUACUAGGAUCGCAGUAGUCAUGCAUCUGGACCUGCUAUGGAGCCAGACCAGACUCUGACUUGGCCUAGCUCCUGCAUGCUUAUGCCCACAAUCUGCUAAGGCCAGACCAGUCUCAGCCAUGGAGUACCCAUUAUCUGCUUGGAUGUCCCACAGGCAUUGAGUUUACAAAGCUGGCUGUGAUGUUGUAUAUCUGAGGCUUCCAUGGCUGCAGUGAGAGACUUCAGCCAUGGCCCAUGGGGCUCAGCUCUGAUUUCAGACCCAUCUCUGUGUGUGGGUAACCCACUGGCUUAUGUUCCCAGAACUUGCAGGGAUGGGGGCUGGCACACACUCCUAGAGCUCAUAGAGGGGGUGCCCUGUCAGCUGAGAGUGCAGAGAAAGAGGCUGCCAUGGUGGGCCCUGCCCCUUCCUUUAUGCGCUCCUUAACAGUGGUGCUUUGCUUCUGUGGUUGGCCUGGGCAUCCUCUGAGUACAUCCUUGGUUAUGGCCAUACUACACUCUAGCCCCUUCAGGAUGUCUCUGUGCAGCCAACCCCAGUCCUCUCCCCAGGUCUGCCUCUUAAGCUCCAGUUUCAGCACCUAGCCUUUGCCUGUACCUGGAGACAUGUGCCUCAGGCUGGGGGACACGGGGUGAUAGUGCAGACCAUUUGGGUAGGUCUCUGUUCUGCCUGCCACAUACAGCUGUGCACUCUCCUCCAAGCCUCUAAAGCUCCCUUUCUGUCCUGCCUGAUCUCCUCUACCCCCAUUGAGGGGACUUCACAGGGUGUGGAAACUUCUCCUCUCCUUCAGCUCCCUCCCAGGGGCACAGGCCCUGUCCUGCUUUUCUUCCUCCCCCCACCCCAGUUACAUGGAGCUCUUUCUUCCAUCUCAGGAGUCUGAGGUCUUCAGGCAACAUUCACUAGGUAUUCUGUGAGAUCUGUUCCAUAUGUAGAUGUAUUUUGGAUGCAUUUGUAGGAGGAUGUGAGCUCCAUGUCCCUCUACUCUUCCAUCCUGAUUCCUCCCACACUUUUGAUAUAUGGUCAUUCUUAGUAUCUGAUCAAAUUCUUCACCCUGUACCUUUUUAUCUGUACGUCCUUGACUUGCCUUUAGCAAGAAUCUUAAGUGGCUUUAGCAAAAACUCUUGAUGCCUCCUCUUAGCAAUUCUCCACCCACCGAACCCCUCUCCAUUCUGCUUGUCGUCUCUCCUGUACUCAGAAUUGAACCCAAUCUCUCCUCCUAUUGUGAUAAGUCUCGACACCUGCUGUGACAAUUUCCAGCCUACUUACCGCAAUAGUCCCAAGUAAAGUCUUCCAUUCUGUUUAUAAGGAUCAAUCAGUUUUUCUCUACCACAUUGUAUCUGUCUUGGAAGCCUCCCACGACCCCAGCCUGGAGUGAGCACCCUCUGCCAAGCUCCUAUCACACCCUGGGCUCCCUCUCCCUUUAUCUCAUGUGAUGUUAUUAUUCAUACACCUUUAUCUUCUGCACUGGACUGGGGUUCCAUGAGGGCAAGAACUAUGUCUUACCCAUCUUCGAAUUAUUACCACUUGGUAUAGAUGCUUAACUCUAGUAAUUGUUUUUAAAGUGAACCAAUCUAUUAAAUGGGGGUUUUCUGCAGUGUCUAGUGAAAACUACUGGAUAUGCUAUCAGGACUUCACAAAUAUUUGGAAAUAGCUAACUGAUUUUUAAAGGCAUGAAGAGACCACAUGAUGUGGGGUUCAAGGACCAGCAACUUCUGCAUCACAUGGCAGUUAGAAAUGCAGAGCAUCAGGCUGAACAUAAUGAAUUGGAUUUUAGUAAGAUCCUCACAAAUGACUCCCUAAGCACUGGUGAAUUCACUAAAGGUUGAGAAGCCCAAAGACUAGGCUUAUUCUUACUAUUAUGGUUCUUUCAAAAGCAUAUAUUAUAUAAUAUGUUUAUCUGCAUCCUUGGAAAGAGUUGAGUGUAGACAAUUGACAAGGUCAUGAGUUAUGGGGCACAUAGACCUGGGUUCAAUUUUCAGGACUAUUAUUUAACCUGAAUUUCUGUUCCCUCAUCUUUAAAAAGGAGAUGAUACCUGCGUAAUACUUUCUAUUGCGGAUUAAAUAAUGAACAUUGUAUCUUGUUCAGCAAAGGUUUGUUCCAUUCCCUUCCUUCUCAGUGCUGGACUUGCUAUGACCUGCAUUAUUGAACAUGGUUCACAAUAGUAGGAAAGGACUUAGACUCUAAGGAGAGAAUCCACAGGUCACCCUGUGCUCUUUGUCCCCAUAUCCCAUACUCGUUUCACUUCCAUCCACCAAACCUGUAGAGACCAGUCCUUGGAGUCAGAAAAAUAGUAUUUUGGGUGUGGCUCCACCAAUUACUUCAUCUCACUGAACUACGAUUUCAUUUAUGAAAAGACUAGGAGUUCACGUUGUGGCUCAGUGGUAAUAAACACGAUUAGUGUCCAUGAGUACGCAGGUUUGAUCCCUGGCCUUGUUCAGUGGGUUAAGGAUCCAUCGUUGGUGUGAGCUGUAGUGUAGGUCACAGAUAGGGCUCAAAUUGUGUGUGGCUGUGGCUGUGGCACAGGCCAGCAGCUACAGCUCUAAUUUGACCCCUAGUCUGGGAACUUCCAUAUGCCAUAGGUGCAGCCCUAAAAAAACAAAACACGACACGACACACACACACACACACACAUAACAGAAGCAACAGACAACAGCCCACUGGCACAUAGGUGCUCCAUAAAUGAUGGCUGUGAUUGGUUAAAGGUAGCUCUGAACAGCAUCAGAAUGUGCAAAACAGAUCUAUGGUCAGAGGACGUGAUUAAAUAGGGGUCUUCCCUUCCAUCAGCCUUUUUUGUUGGAUUAGACCUGAGUUUUUAUGUUUGUAGGUUUUAUGUGUUCUGUUCUGAAUAACUCAGAGGUAACAGCAUGCCCUAGCUCAGAACCGCCUUUUGUUUCCGAACACACAUGGGAUGCACUAGACAGCAGAGUGUAUCACCUUGCAGGUGUUCCUGGGAUUUGGGAAUCUGAGAGUGACUAGCUUUGUGUGAUGCGGUGACCAUGAACCAAAUAAGAAAACAGGCGUUUCUGAGAUGACUCUGGAGGAGAGCUCUUUGUACUGAGGCCAGAUUGCCAAGCCCGACUACAUAAAGGGGGCUCUUGGCCCUUUUGCUUCAGGGGUGCUGGUGUGUGGGCUGAGUGUUUUCUCUCACCUAGUUUUUAAUUCUUUGAAGGUCUGAAUACUACAUAUUUAUCUUAAUAGUCAUGGAAAGGAAAUCAAAUUGCUCAGCUCCACUUACGUAUGAAAUAAUCUUUGGGGAGAGUGGAAAUACUAGUGAAACAGGUCGUGUGGGCUCAUGUAUAAAGGAAGUUGGCAGGAUGGUCUAGAACUGUUUUUUUCCUGUGGGUCUGGGAAACAAAAAACUCAGAAGGUUCACAUGUAUAUCCACACGUCACAUGAAUCUAUCUGAACACACCAAGUAUUUCAGGAAAGGGACGUAUCUUAAAUGUGGCUACAAAACUCUUUUUUUUUUUUUUUUUUUUGUCUUCUUAGGGCUGCAUCCACAGCAUAUGGAGGUGCCCAGGCUAGGGGUUGAAUCAGAGCUAUAGCUGCCAGCCUAUACCACAGCCACAGCAACAUGGGAUCCCAGCCGUGCCUGUGACCUACACCACAGCUCACGGCAA
rnacentral:lncRNA from 1 species